AGCUCAGUAGCUUAGUUGGUAAAGCACCCGUCUAGCACAUAAGAGUCGUGUGUUCAAAUCCCACCUGAGCAC
rnacentral:tRNA from 1 species